rnacentral:rRNA from 1 species
GAGUUUGAUCAUGGCUCAGAUUGAACGCUGGCGGCAUGCCUAACACAUGCAAGUCGAACGGAAACAGGACGCUGGGAUCUCUUCGGAGUGAACUUGUCGCUGUCGAGUGGCGGACGGGUGAGUAAUGCAUAGGAAAUUGCCUUGAAGUGGGGGAUAGCCCGGAGAAAUCCGGAUUAAUACCGCAUGCGCUCUACGGAGCAAAGCAGGCCUCUGAUUUAAGCUUGCGCUUUGAGAUAUGCCUAUGUCGGAUUAGCUAGUUGGUAGGGUAAAAGCCUACCAAGGCGACGAUCCGUAGCUGGUUUGAGAGGAUGAUCAGCCCCACUGGGACUGAGAUACGGCCCAGACUCCUACGGGAGGCAGCAGUGGGGAAUAUUGGACAAUGGGCGCAAGCCUGACCCAGCAAUGCCGCGUGUGUGAAGAAGGCCUGCGGGUUGUAAAGCACUUUUAUCGGGAAAGAAAACUCAGGGUUAAUACCCCUGGGCCUUGACGGUACCCGAAGAAUAAGCACCGGCU